AAUAAUUUUUUUUAUUACAUUAAUUAAUUUAAUAUUAAUUUAAUUGGUCAAGCUCGAAGAAAGAGUCUACAAAAUUUUAAUUAUCAAAUGAGACUAGUAGUUAAUCUGUUAAAGGAUACAAAAUAUAUAAUUUAAAGGCAUUUUAUUUGCCCCCUUUUUUUUCCGUAAAAUUAAAGUGUUGGAUACCAUAGCAU